UUGUAUCUGUGUUAACUAUCAGUUUUGUUCCUCAAUACUUGGUGGUUACUAAUUAGUUUUUACCUGAAAUUCUGGUAGGUUCCAACUGCUAAAGUAUUCUCAUCUCCUUUGUGAUUUGGAUCUACUAUAAUUAAUCAGGUUCCAGCUGCUGAAGUAUUCUUAUCUCGUUUGUGACUUGGCUCCAGUUUAAAUAUUCAGGCUAUAGCUUUUACCUCCUCAAGAACUCCUCUCCUCCGGUGUGAACUCGGCAUGCAACACUGAGAAGCUAGCAUCUUCGCUCACAAUUCGAAAUCAGCAACCAGGUAUAUAGCAGUUGCUGACGCCAAGCACCACUUUCCAAGUUUCUUGGAAAGAGUCUGCAACGCAGCAAAAAUGAAGAUGAAUCUGCCCAUAUCACUAGCAGCAACACUACUCUGCUCAGCCAGCGCAAAAGACAAACAAAAGGAAAAUCAGACCAAAUUGUUUCAUGGGUAGAAAGGAAAUCUGUUGGUGAAAUGACCAUUGCUAUUGACACUGAAUCAAAGCAAGGAAAAAAAAGACUGCCAUUCUACUGUAUUUGAAAGACUUGAUGGUGUCCUGCCCCUCCUGCACCUACAACACUAGACCUGUACCUGGCGGCCUCCAAUUUUGACUGCCCUGCCUUCUUUUCCCAUCUGGUCCGGUGCAGGCAAGGAAGGGGGCGUCUCUUGCAUCAUGGAGUCUCUGGUUCACAUUCUGUUCCUUCCCCAGCUCCUCCACAUGAUUCAGGUGUUCUCAUCAUGUGCUGCUUCUGCCCUCCCUCCAUUGCAAGGGAAAAAAUAUACCGUUGCUUUGGCCCAGUUCCUCAUAAGUCAAAAAGGUAACACUCUCGUUCCUUCCAUGAAAUUUCUCACUGCUCCUGCUGUUCCUGCUUGCCUUCGUACACCAUUGGUCAAUUUUACUGUUUGUCCACCUUCCCCACGCCAAACAUGUACUGAUUUGCAAAGUGAAAUAAUAUAAAAACCCAAUAUUUUAACUCCAGUGUGCUCAUUCAGGUCAAGCGCUACACAAGGGUGCAUAAAUAAGCAUUGAUUAUCUCUAACAAGCAGGUUAGUGCUUCUUCAUGUGAAUUUAGUUAUCGUACAAUAUAAUAUCAUAUAUAGGUAUCAUAUAUAGUUAUUGAAUCAUAUAUAGGUAUCGCAUAAACAUAAUAACAUUAAUUUUUUUUACAGCAUGCUAGACUCCUUCGCCCUCCUAUAGAGCUUUCAGUGAUUCUUUACAGCAUGCAUAUUGUUAAUCCAGAUUUUAUUACUCUCCCCAGGCCUCUAACUUAAUUAUAGUACUAAUAUUUCUUGCAUUAUAAUAUUACAUGAUACUAUUUACAUUAUAAUAUUACAGGACAUCUCCACUCCUUCUGUGAAUUAUGAAGCCCUUUGCAGAAGUCUUUUGUUCCGUUGUAAUAACUAUAUCCAUAUUUUAGAUUUUUAUCCUAGACUAUGAAGCUGAUAGCUACUAUCUCAAUAAAUCUAAAACUCCUUGUAAAUAACUCUUAUAUUUCGUUGUGACAUAACUAGAAAAUUCUUAUUUGUCCUCUAUGGCAAUAUGAGUCUACUAAAUGUACAAAUUUUAUUAUUCAGAUCGAUAAAGUUGACAUGAGCGUGCGCAAAUUUA